rnacentral:rRNA from 1 species
AUCGAACGCUGGCGGCAUGCCUAACACAUGCACGUCGAACGAGUGUCGGUCGCGUGAGUAAUGUCUAGGACUCUGCCCGCUGGCGGGGGAUAACUACUGGAAACGGUAGAUAAUACCUCAUACCACCGGUUCAGCCCUGAUGGGAUUAGCUAGUAGGUGUGGUCACGGCUCACAUAGGCGACGAUCCCUAGCGGGUCUGAGAGGAUGACCAGCCACACUGGAACUGAGACACGGGCCAGACUCCUACGGGAGGCAGCAGUGGGGAAGAUUGCACAAUGGGCGCAAGCCUGAUGCAGCCAUGCCGCGUGUAUGAAGAAGGCCGUCGGGUUGUAAAGGACUUUCAGCGAGGAGGCGUUACUCGCAGAAGAAGCAUCGGCUAACUCCGUGCCAGCAGCCGCGGUAAUUC